GGGGGGGUGGAAUAAAAAACUGAGGCCUUGCUGAAUUAUUAACACCUUGUAUGCUGUAGCUUACAGUCGGAUCAGACGGUCACCCGCACCGAGUUCGUUUUGCGGUGAACGAUCAAGUUUCCCUAAACAUUUAAGGGACAGUCAACUGGAAAUGUGCGCAUGACCGUUGGGAUGGUGCGCUGAAAACAAUAUACAAAAAGGCUUUGGGGAUUUGUUUUUUUAUCUGUAAGCAUGCGUGCAAACUGGUGCACUAAAGAAAUGCGUCAAAUUGAUGGUUCACCGCAAAACAAUAAGUCACAAUUUCCAAAUAAUAUUCUGAGCGUGACGUGAUGAUUCAGGUGGGUGUGUCGGAGAGCCAGCUGUGCCUGAGCUCCCUGAUCAGAGGGCCAGGGGUAUUUAAGGAGCGGUGUGACACAGCUCCAGUGCCGGUUGAUACUCUCACCUUGGAACGAACCUACCGUCGCCUGGAGUUGUCUACCAACGUCAUGUCGCUCAAGAUCCACUGGCCUCCGCUCUCCACCGUCCACUUGUCGUCCUGCUUGCCCAACAGCCUGCCUCACUGCCAGCCUUCGAGCCUGCUUCACAGCCUGCUUCCCAGUCUUGUCCUGGAUCUGAACUCCUGCCAUUCGUCUCUUCCCACCUGGUCCCAAAAACCCAGUCCAUCCUCACCAGUCCAGGUCAUCAACCAUUCCGGUUCAUCCUGUUCCCGUUUGGAGCAGCACCUUUAGUUCGCUCACCAUUCUUAAUAAAAAUUAUUAUAUUAUUUUUACUUAACCCGUCUCCGUAGUGUGAUUCUUUCAUGACUUGGGUAAAACAUCUUCCCAUAAACUUGACAAUGAGAGAUGGUGAUUAGUUGAUCUCAGCAAAUCAAAAAAUAUAGAAUGACAACUUUAAAAGCCCAAAUUGUGGUUAAUGUAAAAAUAAAAUAAUUCAUUUUUUUCCCCCAUUCUGGGUUGUGUUUCUGUGUAAAUAUGUGUUAACAUACUUUUAAUAAAUGGAUAGCUACUGUUCUUACCUCAUUUCUGGGAUCUUAAAACCAAAAUUUCCAAGUUUCCAAAAAGUUCAUGAAGUUUUUGUUUUUGUAAUAUAAUUGUUACGACAAAAUAAAAAAAUACAAAAGCAAACAAACAAAUAAAUAAAUGAACAUGCAGGCUUAUUUUGACCCCUAGAUACACCAGAAGUGCAACAAAGUUCUCUCAUGGCUAUGCUACACAAUUAAAAAGUGAUUAUUUGUAACUUUAACACUAAUAAACAAUUCAAAACGGCCCAAGUAAUCUCUUCAAUUAAGCUAUACAAACCUAAAGGAACUGCAAGUGUUGAUCCACUGGACAAGUAAACCAUUUUAAAGGUGCAUUAUGUAGAAAUUCAGUAAAAUUGACAUCCUGUGGUAACAUUUUGUUACUGCAACCACUUUAAACAACUCUGGAGCUUUUGGCUGGCCAACAUCAUAUUACAAUUGUCGGCGCUGCAGUAUUAGCUUUCAGGAUGCACGGCAACCACACUCACUGUUGGUAAAAAGUAGUUAUGUCCAUCCUUCCUUUGUUUUGAAAGCAGAAAAACUGACAAUCCCCCAGCCAGCUGGAUUUGUAAUAUGUUUCAGUGUAACAUUCCUUCCAAAAUGACUGAAACAUUAGACUCUUUUUGUCUUUGUCUUUAUUAUUAUAUUUAUUAUUUUAUUUUGAACUUGCGUACAUACACAUAGUAAUACACACAACAGAAGUAACUUCUCCUUCGCCUUCUCUUUUUUUUUUUUUACACAUGUUCAAAAGGGAGCAGGAAGAAGCAUCAGCUUAUUCAAUCCCACCCCUUUCUCGACAUCAAAUAACUAAUAGUUAUUUCAUGUUGUCCGGUAGUUUUUGGCAAAUUACUUUGCAACAUAUUCACACAAAUGGCACAUAGUUUAUCACGAUCAUGUCAUAAAUACAAACAUUUUGUGUUUAGGCACACACUUUUUUGGACCUUCUUCUUCCUUGUAUUUGGUAAACAUCGUGAGUUUAAGCCUUUUUUUAAACAGCCCCAUGUUUGGACAUUGCUUCAAUGCAUCACUCAUUCUGUUCCACAGUUUCACAACACGCACAGACACACUAAAAAUUUUUAAUGUUGUUCGGACUCGAGCACGUUUGAAUUUUAACUCCCCUCUUAACUGAUACCUCCCCUCCCUUUUAUGAAACUGUUGAGUUUUAAUAUGUUGUCUGGAAGUAGUUUAUUGUUUACUUUAUACAUUAGCUGUGCUGUUUGGAAUAGAACUAUGUCAGGAAACGUUAAGAUCUGUGAUUUUAAAAAUAAUGUGUUUGUGUGAUCUCUGUAAAAAGUGUUAUGAAUUAUCCUUAGAGCCUUUUUUGUAACACAGAUAGCAAUGAUAAUGCACAUUUAAAGGCGUUUCCCCAAACCUCUGUACAGUAAUUUAAAUAUGUGGAAAAAAGGGAACAUAUAUAUAGUAUAUAUAUAUA
rnacentral:lncRNA from 1 species